UUCCAAGUACUCUCCUCCUCUGUACUAUCUUUAUAUGCAUUAAGGACAGCACAUUUAUUUUAUGUGUGGAUGGGUGUACUUGUACCAUGGGGUUUUUUGCUACCUGUGUUCUUUUCCUCCUGUGUGCUAUCUAGUAGAACCGGCAUGUCUAGUAUUGCAUUUUCUUUUCUUAGGUUGUGAUGUAAAUAUCCAUUUAUUAAUGUUUAUUUAUGAAGUGUCUUUUUUUUUUUUUUUAGCAUCUUGUUGUAUAUGUAGAUGACGAAUGACUUUGGGAUAAGGCUAUGAGCAUUUUUGUAUAACUAUUUUCUCUUGUCGUUUAGCAUAUGUUGAACAACCUUUGGUGAUUCUGUAAUUGGCAUUCGGAUGAAAAGUGUGCAUGACUAUGUGAUGUAAAUAAUCCCAGAAGUUAGUGGAAUAAGUGUAACUCAUGUGCUUGUGUGUGGGAGCAUUUGUUUUAGUUCUUGCAUGGUUACCGGAAGAAUCGUUGAAGAUCUGGGACACAAAAUUAUGAUGGCGAGGAGAAAGAAGCAGAGAAGGCAAAGGAAUUACAGAAGAAGCAAUAAUCGCUUCUAGAACAUUUGUCAUUGGAGCAAGAUUUAAGUUCGGGAACUUACAGAUGUCAAAGAUACGAAGACGUUGGCACAGUGCAGUUGGUUACUGUUAUGUUCACUAAUAAGCUUUAUUUUGAGAGAUGUAUGCAUCUACAUUUGUUCUUCUUUAGUUUGUAUUAAUCAGCUUAAGGUUUAUUAACUUAAUAUAUUUUUCAAGUUCAUAUGCUCAA